GAUAAUAAUUUUGCUAUAUUAAACUUUCAUUUUUAUUACGUUUCAAAUUACUUUAAAUGGUUCAAUGUUCUUUAAUUUGGAUUUACGUAUCGUACACGUAUGUUGGAAAUAACAUGUUCGGACAGCCACUGUAGAUAAGUUUGAAAAACCGUAACAAAUAAUCGAUAGUCCUGACCGGGGAUAGCAAUUGAUCUGACCAAUGGGGCAUCAAAAUAGGAGGGUGAAAGGCGAUUCUUAUGUGCACCUCCUCGAAUCCGUUUCCAGAAACCAGUAUAUUGUCCAAACAACCCCUGGCUAGUUUUGAUGUUCUGACAGCAUUCUUAAUGACCGAUCGGAUACAAAAUGGCGUACAAAUAUAAUUUUGUAGGUGAUUGAGCUGUUCAAUACCUUGUUUGAAAAGUGCUAUAACGCAAAUUAACUAAAACAUUAAAACAUCUUAUCAGAAUAUAAUGUACAGUAAUCCAUACGAAUUUAUGUAACGAAUCAAUUUGUAAAAAGAUUAUAGAUCUAUUACUACUAUGAGGAAGAAAAUAAUUACCUAAGCCAUCUAACGAAGAUAGCGUCAACUAUUUAAUAGGUACGAAAUUGCCGAGAUGGCGCGAUCACCGCAUUGCACGUGACGACUCAGCUGGCAAGUAACGAUAAAUAGAAGACACUAAUGUUUCCAGUUGCAAGUUACAAGCUAUCCUUUAUGAAGCACGUAUACCUUAGUGAUAUUUGCCACUUUUACAAGUCAAAUCGUAAAUUGUUUUUGUUUAAUAAAGUUUAUGUUUAUAGAAUAUAAAAAUUAAUUCGAGAACUGAAAAAAAGGCUUCUU